ncrna:Enterovibrio norvegicus FF-33 DABA-DC-AT RNA
ACAAUCUCGAACAUCGCGCUUUUCGAGACACACGCGACACGGUGAUUAACGCCUUGGUUUGAUACCCAUUUCACACGUAGUUGUCGCAAGUAGGUAUUGGAGAAUAGUUCUCCAAUAGAAGGGCAUUAAUAGUGCUGUCCGGCCUGAGAAAGGCUUGGGGCAUAUUGAGGAACCCAACU